UGGGGAAUAUUGCACAAUGGGCGCAAGCCUGAUGCAGCCAUGCCGCGUGUAUGAAGAAGGCCUUCGGGUUGUAAAGUACUUUCAGCGGGGAGGAAGGCGAUAAGGUUAAUAACCUCAUCGAUUGACGUUACCCGCAGAAGAAGCACCGGCUAACUCCGUGCCAGCAGCCGCGGUAAUACGGAGGGUGCAAGCGUUAAUCGGAAUUACUGGGCGUAAAGCGCACGCAGGCGGUCUGUCAAGUCGGAUGUGAAAGCCCCGGGCUCAACCUGGGAACUGCAUUCGAAACUGGCAGGCUAGAGUCUUGUAGAGGGGGGUAGAAUUCCAGGUGUAGCGGUGAAAUGCGUAGAGAUCUGGAGGAAUACCGGUGGCGAAGGCGGCCCCCUGGACGAAGACUGACGCUCAGGUGCGAAAGCGUGUGGAGCAAACAGG
rnacentral:rRNA from 1 species